UGUGUUCGAGUCCGUGGUGAUGGGAACCGUCGUGGGCUUGGUGCGCCGGAGGAAGUUUGUUCGCGGUACCUGUGGACAAAUAAACAACCGAUAUUGAAGUGAUCUACAAAGCAGAGAGAAGUAACGGAAGUUUGAAAAAUACUAGAAUGCAAGAAUUGUUUAAUUUCUACAAAGACAACUUUUAUGACUGUAAAAUAAACUAAAACUA